rnacentral:rRNA from 1 species
GAUGAACGCUGGCGGCGUGCUUAACACAUGCAAGUCGAACGAAGCACUUUAUUUGAUUUCCUUCGGGACUGAUUAUUUUGUGACUGAGUGGCGGACGGGUGAGUAACGCGUGGGUAACCUGCCUUGUACAGGGGGAUAACAGUUUGAAACGGCUGCUAAUACCGCAUAAGCGCACGGCAUCGCAUGAUGCAGUGUGAAAAACUCCGGUGGUAUAAGAUGGACCCGCGUUGGAUUAGCUAGUUGGUGAGGUAACGGCCCACCAAGGCGACGAUCCAUAGCCGACCUGAGAGGGUGACCGGCCACAUUGGGACUGAGACACGGCCCAAACUCCUACGGGAGGCAGCAGUGGGGAAUAUUGCACAAUGGGCGAAAGCCUGAUGCAGCGACGCCGCGUGAGCGAAGAAGUAUUUCGGUAUGUAAAGCUCUAUCAGCAGGGAAGAUAAUGACGGUACCUGACGAAGAAGCACCGGCUAAAUACGUG